AUUGAACGCUGGCGGAAUGCUUUACACAUGCAAGUCGAACGGCAGCACGGGGCAACCUGGUGGCGAGUGGCGAACGGGUGAGUAAUACAUCGGAACGUGCCCAAUCGUGGGGAUAACGUAGCGAAAGUUACGCUAAUACCGCAUACGAUCUACGGAUGAAAGCGGGGGAUCGCAAGACCUCGCGCGAGUGGAGCGGCCGAUGUCAGAUUAGGUAGUUGGUGGGGUAAAGGCUCACCAAGCCAACGAUCUGUAGCUGGUCUGAGAGGACGACCAGCCACACUGGAACUGAGACACGGUCCAGACUCCUACGGGAGGCAGCAGUGGGGAAUUUUGGACAAUGGGCGCAAGCCUGAUCCAGCCAUUCCGCGUGCAGGGAUGAAGGCCUUCGGGUUGUGAACUGCUUUUGUUACGGAACGAAACGGCGAGCUCUAAUACAGUUUGCUAAUGACGGUACCGUAAGAAUAAGCAACCGGCUAACUACGUGCCAGCAGCCGCGGUAAU
rnacentral:rRNA from 1 species